rnacentral:rRNA from 1 species
UACGUAGGUGGCAAGCGUUGUCCGGAUUUAUUGGGUUUAAAGGGUGCGUAGGCGGUCAAAUAAGUCAGUUGUGAAAUACGGCAGCUCAACUGUCGAGGUGCAAUUGAUACUGUUUGACUUGAGUAUUGUUGAGGUAGGCGGAAUGGACGGUGUAGCGGUGAAAUGCUUAGAGAUCGUCCAGAACACCGAUAGCGAAGGCAGCUUACUAAAGAAUAACUGACGCUGAGGCACGAAAGUGUGGGGAUCAAACAGGAUUAGAUACCCUGGUAGUCCACACUGUAAACGAUGAUUACUCGAUGUGUGCGAUACACAGCACGCGUCUUAGCAAAAGCGAUAAGUAAUCCACCUGGGGAGUACGCCGGCAACGGUGAA